rnacentral:rRNA from 1 species
GACAGAGGGUGCAAACGUUGUUCGGAAUUACUGGGCGUAAAGCGCGUGUAGGCGGCUAUGCAAGUCGGGUGUGAAAGCCCCGGGCUCAACCUGGGAAGUGCACUCGAAACUGCUUGGCUUGAGUACUGGAGAGGGAAGCGGAAUUCUCGGUGUAGAGGUGAAAUUCGUAGAUAUCUGGAGGAAUACCGGUGGCGAAGGCGGCAUCCUGGACCAUUACUGACGCUGAGGCGCGAAAGCUAGGGGAGCAAACGGG